rnacentral:sRNA from 1 species
UGACGUAAAUAGUUGUGCUUCUUUCAGU